AAAGAAAAUUGGAACACUCCAAAGAAUUGGAAAAUAAAAAAUUUAAAAAUGAAAAGGAAAUUAAUCAAAAUAAAAAAGAGGAUUAUAUUGAAUCUGAUGAGGAGGUAUUGGAAGCGUUAUUGAAAUGGGAGGAAAAAAAUAAAAUCAAUUCGUAAAUAUAAAAAAUAAUAUUAAUAAUACAAAAUUUUUUGGAAUGGCAGCAGAAGUAUGAUGAGAAAAAAUAAAGCCGAU